UCACCACUCAAGCCUGGCUUGGUGUUGGGUGCCGCCCCGCCCCCUGCGGCGCGGGCGCUCCCUAAAACUAUCGGCGGUGCAGCACCGGCUUCGAGCGUAGCAGACCUUCGCUUUCUGGGGCCCGGUGCGGCAGCGGCCGCGACGACACAACCUCUA
rnacentral:misc_RNA from 2 species